rnacentral:rRNA from 1 species
AACGAACGCUGGCGGCAUGCCUAACACAUGCCAGUCGAACGAGACCUUCGGGUCUAGUGGCGCACGGGUGCGUAACGCGUGGGAACCUGCCCUUAGGUUCGGAAUAACUCCCCGAAAGGGGUGCUAAUACCGGAUAAUGUCUUCGGACCAAAGAUUUAUCGCCUUUGGAUGGGCCCGCGUUGGAUUAGCUAGUUGGUAGGGUAAAAGCCUACCAAGGCGACGAUCCAUAGCUGGUCUGAGAGGAUGAUCAGCCACACUGGGACUGAGACACGGCCCAGACUCCUACGGGAGGCAGCAGUGGGGAAUAUGGGACAAUGGGCGAAAGCCGGAUCCAGCAAGGCCGCGGGAGUGAUGAAGGCCUUAGGGUUGUAAAGCUCUUUUACCCGGGAUGAUAAGGACAGUACCGGGAGAAUAAGCUCCGGCUAACUCCGG